UACAGAGGUCUCAAGCGUUGUUCGGAUUCAUUGGGCGUAAAGGGUGCGUAGGCGGCUCUGUAAGUCUGGUGUGAAAUCUCGGGGCUUAACUCCGAAGCUGCAUUCGAUACUGCCGUGCUUGAGGACUGGAGAGGAGACUGGAAUUUACGGUGUAGCGGUGAAAUGCGUAGAUAUCGUAAGGAAGACCAGUGGCGAAGGCAGGUCUCUGGGCUGACACUGACGCUCAUGCACGAAAGCGUGGGGAGCAAACAGG
rnacentral:rRNA from 1 species